AAAUUGAAGAGUUUGAUCAUGGCUCAGAUUGAACGCUGGCGGCAGGCCUAACACAUGCAAGUCGAACGGUAACAGGAAGCAGCUUGCUGUUUUGCUGACGAGUGGCGGACGGGUGAGUAAUGUCUGGGAAACUGCCUGAUGGAGGGGGAUAACUACUGGAAACGGUAGCUAAUACCGCAUAACGUCGCAAGAC
rnacentral:rRNA from 1 species